UGGGGAAAUCAGUUUAGAAGAUACCGAGGAUUUUGGAAACUUGUUACUUCAGUUUCUUUAUUAGAUGACAAGCUUGGGAUCACUCUUCUUUACAAGGAGUAGUGCUGCAGUACACUUUUAGAAUGCCUCUUAGAGGACUUGGUAUGUCCAAUCUUGCUUGCUGGUUCACUGAAUUUCUUCAAUGCAAUUUUGAUGAGGUGCAAGGGAGUUAAGGAGUUGUGUGGAUGGCAAACGAUGGAUGAGUUACUGGCAAAUUCAA
rnacentral:misc_RNA from 1 species